GACGAACGCUGGCGGCGUGCUUAACACAUGCAAGUCGAACGGAAGGGCCCUGCUUUUGUGGGGUGCUCGAGUGGCGAACGGGUGAGUAACACGUGAGUAACCUGCCCUUGACUUUGGGAUAACUUCAGGAAACUGGGGCUAAUACCGGAUAGGAGCUCCUGCUGCAUGGUGGGGGUUGGAAAGUUUCGGCGGUUGGGGAUGGACUCGCGGCUUAUCAGCUUGUUGGUGGGGUAGUGGCUUACCAAGGCUUUGACGGGUAGCCGGCCUGAGAGGGUGACCGGCCACAUUGGGACUGAGAUACGGUCCAGACUCCUACGGGAGGCAGCAGUGGGGAAUAUUGCACAAUGGGCGGAAGCCUGAUGCAGCAACGCCGCGUGCGGGAUGACGGCCUUCGGGUUGUAAACCGCUUUCGCCUGUGACGAAGCGUGAGUGACGGUAAUGGGUAAAGAAGCACCGGCUAACUACGUG
rnacentral:rRNA from 1 species